AGCGAACGCUGGCGGCAGGCUUAACACAUGCAAGUCGAGCGGGCACUUCGGUGUCAGCGGCAGACGGGUGAGUAACACGUGGGAACGUACCCUUCGGUUCGGAAUAACGCUGGGAAACUAGCGCUAAUACCGGAUACGCCCUUUUGGGGAAAGGUUUACUGCCGAAGGAUCGGCCCGCGUCUGAUUAGCUAGUUGGUGGGGUAAUGGCCUACCAAGGCGACGAUCAAUAGCUGGUCUGAGAGGAUGAUCAGCCACACUGGGACUGAGACACGGCCCAGACUCCUACGGGAGGCAGCAGUGGGGAAUAUUGGACAAUGGGCGCAAGCCUGAUCCAGCCAUGCCGCGUGAGUGAUGAAGGCCUUAGGGUUGUAAAGCUCUUUUGUCCGGGACGAUAAUGACGGUACCGGAAGAAUAAGCCCCGGCUAACUUCGUG
rnacentral:rRNA from 1 species